AUCUGGAGAUGGAUGGCAGUCGCAGAACAGUGUGAAUAUACUUAAUGCCACCGAACUGUACACUUAAAAAUGGCUCAAACGGCCAACUUUAUGUUAUGUAUAUUUUACCACAACAAAAAAAGAAUAUGGCGAGUCAUUGACUUUCUUGGUUUUGUAGGCAUUAUUCCAAGUGUUUAGUUAAGACUCUUUGGGGGCGCCUGGGUGGCUCAGUCGGUUGAGCAUCCAACUUCGGCUCAGGUCAUGAUCUCACGGUCUGUGAGUUCGAGCCCCGCAUCGGGCCCUGUGCUGAUGGCUCAGAGCCUGGAGCCUGCUGCGGAUUCUGUGUCUCCCUGUCUCUCUGCCCUUCCCUGCUCAUGCUCUGUCUCUCUCUGUCUCAAAAAUAAAUAAAAAAACAUUAAGAAAAAAAAAUUAAAAAAAAAGACUCUUUGGUUGCAGAAAAGGAAAAUUGUAAGGAAGCAGGGGUACAUUGCAGAACCCGAGGGCAGGAAUGCUAAGAGGUCUCGGGGAGGAAUAGAAUCGGGAACUGAAGGGCCAUGGAGACUCUUCUUUGUCUCAGCAUUUGUCAGUGAUUCUGUUUCACCCACAUGCUCUCUACAGCUUGGUUUCUCUGUCUCUCUGGCCCGCUGAAUGGAAUAUGCUCACUGCCUUCCUCUCUCCACGGCUCCCGAGUUCACUCCUCAUGCUUAUCCUCCCACAUUAAGAAACUUGCAGUCUCCCACUCCCAGCUCCAUAUUCCGAAGAAAGGGAAGCUGAUUGGCAUCUCCUGGCCAGGUGGCCUCCCCUGGUCCAAUCAAUCCAGGGGUGGUACAAACAUGCCAAUUUUCUCUGGGGAACCCUGAAUGAUGCAGCAUGGGAUACGUGGUUUUUUGUUUUUUGCUUUUUGUUUUCAUUUUACUCUGUUCCUUCACAGUGCAAUACAAGAGUCAACUCCUGUAAAUAAAACAAAUCUCCCAAUGGAGGUCAACUAUUCAGCAUGCCUAACGAUUUCUAGGUUUGCCUUAACUGAACGAAGUCUGAGCUCUUCAUUUUUGAUCGCCAGGGUGCGCGCUUGGUCCUCCAGGAGGGGCGCGGCUCCGUGGGAGCUUCGCGUCUGGGGAAGACGUAGCUGGCAGGCGCUGGCCCCUCGGAGGGGCUGUGCGAGCCUGGGGAGCGCAGGUGGGGCUGCGGAAAGAAGCUAGAAGCUGGAGCUGUCUGCUGCUGUCAGUCAUCUCCCAACAGGAGGUAGGAGCAGGGAAGAAGCCCUCCUCCCCCUUCUUCUGCCCCACCAGUGCCUCCCGGAACCGCAGGAAGCUGGCUGGCAAGGGAAUGUGGGAAAUGUGGGAAGUGUGGCUCAGCCCCAACAUCCCGGAGCAGGGAAGGGUGGGCCGGGAGUGGGUGGCAAUAGCCGGAUAAACAGCACGAAGGGGCGUGAGGUCGCCAGGCCUUUCCAAUUAAACUCCCGCUUCUUCCAGUUAUUAUUUUUUUAAAUCUUGUCCUGGGGUAAAAUAUUUUUUGACUUACCAGUUCUCCACGUGUCAUAUCUCUCAUCAAUUGUAAUAUGACAUCAACUAUAUACGUAUACGCUUUUAUAUGACACUGUAUUUAAAUAUCCAUCGAACAUCAAUGGCCACUAUUACACACUACUAUCCGUUUCUGUUUUUCUCAGAGUCUGACCUGGGCUGGAAUUACAUUCCCUUUCUCUCUCUUUCGUUGCGGUAAAAUAGACAUAAUAUAAAAUUUACCAUCUUAAUCGUUGUUAAGUUUAGUAGUGUUAAGCAUAUAUUCAUAUUGUAGUGCAACUCAUCUCCAGAACUCUUUUCAUCUUGCAAAACUUAAGCUCUGUAUCCAUUAAACAAUAACUCACAAUCCCCCUUUUUCCCCUUCUCCUCAGCCAAUGGCAACCACCAUUCUACUUCCCGUCUAUGAAUUUGCUUACUCUAGGUAACUGGUAUUGGUAGAGUCGUACAAUAUUUGUCCUUCUGUGACUGGGCUUAUUUCACUUCGCAUAGUAUCUUCAAGGUUCCUCUGUGUUGUAGCAUGCGUCAGAAUUUCCUUCCCCUUUUUUUUAAAGAUUUUAUUUUUAAGUUAUGUCUACACCCAUUGUGGGGCUCAAACUCAUGACCCAGAGGUCAAGCCUCACAUGCUCUUCCAACUGAGCCAGCCAGGCACCCCUGGAGGCCUUUUAAUAUUGUUAUGUGUAUGUGUACAUACUCCACAUUUUGUUUAUUCAUUCAUCUGUCAACAGAUACUUGGGUUGCUUCUACCUUUUUGGCUGUUGUGAAUAACACUGCUAUGACUACGGGUGUACAUUUCCCUUUACUUUUAUAAUCCAUAUAUGGCUUUUUGGCCCCCCAUUCUACAGGAGUGGUUCUUAACCCUGUCAGACAUAGCACUUUCAUUCAUCCAAAAAUGAAGCUUAAAAAGAAUAUAGCUUACCUAUCACAUAAUUUCAGGAAAAUCAAUGUAAUGGAAUAAUAUAUAUUUUAUUGUAAAUACAUACCCGGGAAUGAUCCCACAGGGUAUGUAAUGAAAUAACUAAAUGUUUGCACAUUGUACAUCAAUGUAGACUGUCUCGGGACAUCAUUUUGGCAAUUCAAAUACUGCAAGUACUGUUGCUUGGUGGCAUGAUUUCCUAAUAUGGGUCACAUACAUUUAGUAACGUUUGAAACGGAGCAAUCAUUCUUCAAGGUCCACAAUAACUGUAAUCAUAGACACAGUGCAUAUUUGUGUUGGGCAAAAAAAAAAAGUUGAUGCUUCUGUCUAAAACAGAGUUAGGUUCUUGGCUCAGAUCAUUUUAAACAGAUUAUUCCCUUUGUGGAUAUCAAACAGGACAUUGAAACUUCAUGAAGGACACAGGAUGGUUUGUUGUGCAGAAUGGCGCAGGGAUUUACAGGACAUCAAGCAUCUUUGGCCAGUGCCCACUAAACGCCAGUAGCACUGCCUCAGUCAUGAUGACAGCUGAAAAAUGCCCCCAUUCGUUUCCAAAAUUCCCCCCAGGAAGCAAUAUCAGCCAUGUUAAGAGCUGCUCUUCUACAAGUAAGUAGAUUCUUGAUGCCUCUGUUAAAUCUCACCACGAUAAUGCUAUGUAGCUUUGGCAGCCAUGAAAAAAACACCUUGCAGACUUAUGAGUCUAGCUGGCCAAUUAGCGUGCUCUGAAACCCACUGCCAAUUUUGUGCCAAGGCCAUGCUUCCCAUAGGUUUCUCCCAGCCAAUGGCUGCAUGUAGUGGGGAUACUAAGGCAGACCUGUUCCUGGGAGGCUCGAGACUCCUCUGACAGUUGACUUUGACUGAGCUUCCCCAUAGCCUUGUUGAACUUUCUUUAGACUGCAUGGCAGACAUUUCUACCCACCUUUCCUUCCCUCUUUCCUUCAUUUGGGUCAGACUUGCGUGGCCUUCUGACAGCUGUCCUAGCUCACAGUUGCCUCUCUAUUUUCUCUCCCAUUGGUAUUUCCUGAAUAAAAUCCUUGUACAUUUUAUUCCA
ensembl:lncRNA